GAUGAACGCUGGCGGCGUGCCUAAUACAUGCAAGUCGAGCGAACAGACGAGGAGCUUGCUCCUCUGACGUUAGCGGCGGACGGGUGAGUAACACGUGGAUAACCUACCUAUAAGACUGGGAUAACUUCGGGAAACCGGAGCUAAUACCGGAUAAUAUAUUGAACCGCAUGGUUCAAUAGUGAAAGACGGUUUUGCUGUCACUUAUAGAUGGAUCCGCGCCGCAUUAGCUAGUUGGUAAGGUAACGGCUUACCAAGGCAACGAUGCGUAGCCGACCUGAGAGGGUGAUCGGCCACACUGGAACUGAGACACGUGCCAGACUCCUACGGGAGGCAGCAGUAGGGAAUCUUCCGAAAAGGGCGAAAGCCUGGCGGAGCAACGCCGCGUGAGUUAUGAAGGUCUUCGGAUCUUAAAACGCUGUUAUUAGGGAAGAACAAAUGUGUAAGUAACUAUGCACGUCUUGACGGUACCUAAUCAGAAAGCCACGGCUAACUACGUG
rnacentral:rRNA from 1 species